CGGGAUAUAGCUCAGUUGGUAGAGUGCUUGCCUUACAUUCAUAAGGCCCUGGGUUCAAUCCCCAGAACCACAA
rnacentral:tRNA from 1 species